CAGUUCCAAGUAUGUUCUCCUCCCAACAGCACUUGGAAGACCAUUGUGGAUCCUACAUACUCAAUAAUCCUCCUUCCCCACCACUCCUCCAGCUACAGCCCAUGUCUUCAGAGGAGGGGACAGGGUGUUUGGUCUCCUUACCUUGCAUGCUGCAUUGAGCAAGUUGCCAACCGCCUGACCACUUCAGAUGAUUGACCUUCCCUCAUCAUUUCAGAUGAGUUGACCAAUCCUCUGGUCCUAACUCCAUUGUGUCUGCCCUAUAGCAAAAGCUGAGGAGAGGGCAGGGCUCAGGUGUAAACAACAUGGAGAGUCCCACUGGCUUUGGAUUUUCCUAUUUGUCCCUCAGAAGAAACUUUAAGGCCCAGCAGGUGACAUGGUGG